CAAGGAUGUUUUGAGAAUAGCUCCUUUCCCACCAAUCACCCAUUUAUUUGGCAAAUUACCCUCUUAGUUAAAAGGAAUUACUAAAAAGCCUGGUAGUCCUGAGCCAUCUUUGGAGUCUCCCCUGUGGUAUGGGUGCAUAGCCCAGGACCGUCCUGUUGGGACUCUGGUGGCUGAUCUCGGGACUCCCCAGCCACAAGAUCCAGAUGUAGAUGAUUCCCCUGAUGGUGACGAUCAAUUAUGGCGGAGUGGAUCAUUACCCAGGAGGUCUUUCAAAAAAGUCGACAUACUCCCCAUGGUUCACCUGCUCACUUGGAGGCAACCCACUAACCUGACCAGUUUUGUUUUGUACCUUAAGACAUUGAAAAUUAAAUGCCCUGAAUGAAGGUGAGCCAUUCAUUCCACACUUAGAUGUUAUCUUACUCAUUCUUGAACAGCUGUACUUUAUAGCUAGUUUUUUUCCCCCCCUUUAGAGUAGAUUUGAGAACAAAGGUAUAAAAUUGGAUUCUGGCCAUGAAGUUUGCUCUUCUCCAUUAAGAACACAAAGGCAGUCUGAGAUUAGCAGCAAUCUUCCCAACUCUCAUAAUGUUGCAAUAAUGACUUGGAGUAUCUUUUAAAAGCCAUUAGUAAAUCCUAGCAGGCCGGUGGAGCUUGUUGGUAAUUGUCAUUCACGUUUGUCAGUGUUUCUUUCUUUCCUUCUGCCUCUGGGUAGCUGAUAACAGUAGGUGGUAUUUGGCUGGGAAUGAGGGACCUAGGAAGAUAGUGCAAAGCAGGGGGGAGUGCAGAGAGGUGAGAUGAGAGACAGAGAGAGAGACAGAGACAGAG
rnacentral:lncRNA from 1 species